UACGGAAGGGGCAAGCGUUGUUCGGAAUCAUUGGGCGUAAAGGGCGCGUAGGUGGUUCUGUAUGUCUACCGUGAAAGCGUACGGCUCAACCGUAUUUUGUCGGUGGAAACUGCAGGACUUGAGGCUGGGAGGGGCUGGUGGAAUUCCCUGUGUAGCGGUGAAAUGCGUAGAGAUGGGGGAGAACACUCGUGGCGAAGGCGGCCACUAGACCAGUUCUGACACUGAGGCGCGACAGCGUGGGGAGCAAACAGG
rnacentral:rRNA from 1 species